ensembl:lncRNA
UAUAUAUAAUGAAUGAUAUUUGUAGAUUUUAAUAUAAUCUUUUUUUAAACUGCAUGUGUGCAGCUGCAGAAGAACGCAGGAAUGAAUUGGAGGAAAGGGGCGUGGCCUGUUCCGUGAUAGUGUGUGACAUCGAACCAAAAGUUCCUGGUGUGAAGGAUAGAAAGAACGACCCCUGGUCAUGUGACAGCUCUGCAUCUUCCUCCGACAGUGAGGACGAUGAUAAAAACAAGAAGAAGAAGAAGAAGAAAAAGCUAAAGAAGAAAAGAAGCAAGAAGUUCAGCUCAUCAUCAUCUUCCUCAUCAUCAUCCUCUUCCUCCUCUUCGUCCUCAGACAGUGACAGCAGUGAGGAUGAAAAGAAGAAAAAGAAGAAAAUGAAAAUCAGCGAAACGGCAGAGCUGGGGAUUCUAGCAGAAACAGGUCUGGAGGGAAACACUGAAUUAACUCCUGCAGGAGAAACUAAAGGAGACGAGGAGAUGAAAAAGAAGAAAGACAAAGAUGCAGCUGCAAUCAGUUCAGACAGCGAGAAUGAAAAGAAGAAGAAAAAGAAGAAAAAUAAAGACUCCAGCUCUUCUUCAUCAUCCGACAGCAGCUCCUCAUCCUCCUCAGACUCAGACAGCGACGAUGACAAGAAGAAGAAGAAGAAGAAGAAAGAUUCAUCAUCAUCAUCAUCUUCAUCUGACAGUGACGAUGACAAGAAGAAGAAGAAGAAGAAGAAGAAGAAGAAGAAGAAGAAGAAGAAGAAGAAGAAAGUAAAGGAUUCGUCUUCUUCAUCAUCAAGUAGCUCCUCGUCUUCUUCUGACAGCGAUGAGAAGAAGAAGAAAAAGAAGAAGAAGCAUAAGAAAAAGGAGUCCAGCUCCUCUUCCUCAUCCUCUUCCUCCGACAGCGACAAGAAGAAGAAGAAGAAGAAAAGUGAGAAAGACAAGAAGGACAAGAAAAAGAAGAAAGAUGAGAAGAGUAAAAAGGACUCCGGAAAGUCUUCAGGAUCAGAAAACGAUGAUGGCAAGCAUAAGAAAGCAAAAACCGAUGAUAAGGAUGGAGAAAACACCUCGCUGAAGACUGAAGGAGAGUCAGGGGGUUUCGGCACGACCGAUUACAGUUGUAGAACUGAUGGCUCUCAGAUUUCUUCAUCUCUACUUUACUCCCACCUGCCUUCUGAAACCCUGAGCCGAGCGGAGAGCAGCAGCUCCUCCCGCAGGCCUCUGACCGCCUUAGAGAGCCUGAUGGGUCAUCCUCAGAGAAACACACUGGACAGGGACAGAGUAAUGACCAGCAGAUACACCUCACAUUCCACACCAUAAGAAACACUUACACAAAUGAUUUUUUGGAUUAGAGUGCUGCAGGGAUGACUUACUUUUGUAGGCUGAAACGGGUUCCCUUGACAAAAACGCAAUAGAAAAUAUUGCAGAAAAUAAGCUCUGUGCCCAACUAGAGUUUAUGAUUCUUACAUGAAAACCUUUACAGAUGAACACGUGUUUUAUGAAUUUUAAAGCUUAAUUACAACUAAACGUUGGCUAUAAAUGAACUACAACAUCAACACCGUCACCAUUAAGCUUCUGACAACUCUUUCAGUCUUUAUUUAAAAAUAUUUUCCCUGAAAGUUUGAGUGAGAAUAGUUUGCAAGAGCACGAUUAUAAACUGUAAAGUCGUGAAAGCCUGUUUCAACCACGGAAUAAAAAAAAUAAAGGUAAUUGCAACUUUUUAUCUCACAAUUCUGAGUUUUUUUUUUUGUUGAGAUAAUUCUGCAAGAAGAAACUCAGAAUUGCGAGGAAUAAAAGUCUGAAUUGCGAGAAAAAUGUCAGAAUUGAGAGAAAAAAUUUUAAUUGAGAGAAAACCAAGAAUUCUGCGAAAUAGUCAGAAUUGUAAAUUCAAAUAAAAAAGUCAGAAUUGUGAGAAAAUAGUCAGAAUUGCGAGAUAAAAACUCAAAAUUGUGAGAAAAUAGUCAGAAUUGCGAGAUAAAAACUCAAAAUUGAGAGAAAACUGUCAGAAUUGCCAGAAAAAGUGAAUUUUGAGGGACAAAAAUCUGAAUUGAGAGAUAACUAAGAAUUUUGAGAAAUUGUCAGAAUUGAGAGAAAAACGUCUGUUUUAAAAACAUAUAUAUAUAUAUAUAUAUAUCAUCCUAAAUAUACAUGUUUAUGAGGUUGGUUGCAUAUUAAUUUAACCCUAUAAAGCCUUUAACCCUAUAAAAUGUUUGUU